rnacentral:rRNA from 1 species
AGUGAACGCUGGCGGUAGGCCUAACACAUGCAAGUCGAACGGCAGCACAGUAAGAGCUUGCUCUUACGGGUGGCGAGUGGCGGACGGGUGAGGAAUACAUCGGAAUCUACUUUUUCGUGGGGGAUAACGUAGGGAAACUUACGCUAAUACCGCAUACGACCUACGGGUGAAAGCAGGGGAUCUUCGGACCUUGCGCGAUUGAAUGAGCCGAUGUCGGAUUAGCUAGUUGGCGGGGGAAAGGCCCACCAAGGCGACGAUCCGUAGCUGGUCUGAGAGGAUGAUCAGCGACACUGGAACUGAGACACGGUCCAGACUCCUACGGGAGGCAGCAGUGGGGAAUAUUGGACAAUGGGCGCAAGCCUGAUCCAGCCAUACCGCGUGGGUGAAGAAGGCGUUCGGGUUGUAAAGCCCUUUUGUUGGGAAAGAAAGGCAGCAGGUUAAUACCCCGCUGUUCUGACGGUACCCAAAGAAUAAGCACCGGCUAACUUCGUG